UACCUGUGGGGGCUUACAUGAUGCUUACUGAAAUCCACUCAAUGCUCACUACUCCUUCAAACGUUCUGUCCCUGGCGCGCAGCGAGAUGGCUUGAUGUCAGGAUCGCAGCUUUUCUCAGAGCCAUGUCGCUUGAGCCGUACAUUCUGGCUGCUGGUAUACCAUCUUGGAGGGGGUUCAUAGGCACAUAGGGAAAAGAAGUCAGCCUUCGGAAACAAAAUAAGGUCUCAAGGAAUCUUCAAAAAUGAAAUUAGGGAAGUAUAAAAGCUUCAAAUAACUCAGC
rnacentral:sRNA from 1 species